rnacentral:rRNA from 1 species
GGGUUGUGAGGUUAAGCGACUAAGCGUACACGGUGGAUGCCCUGGCAGUCAGAGGCGAUGAAGGACGUGCUAAUCUGCGAUAAGCGUCGGUAAGGUGAUAUGAACCGUUAUAACCGGCGAUUUCCGAAUGGGGAAACCCAGUGUGUUUCGACACACUAUCAUUAACUGAAUCCAUAGGUUAAUGAGGCGAACCGGGGGAACUGAAACAUCUAAGUACCCCGAGGAAAAGAAAUCAACCGAGAUUCCCCCAGUAGCGGCGAGCGAACGGGGAGCAGCCCAGAGCCUGAAUCAGUGUGUGUGUUAGUGGAAGCGUCUGGAAAGGCGCGCGAUACAGGGUGACAGCCCCGUACACAAAAAUGCACAUGCUGUGAGCUCGAUGAGUAGGGCGGGACACGUGGUAUCCUGUCUGAAUAUGGGGGGACCAUCCUCCAAGGCUAAAUACUCCUGACUGACCGAUAGUGAACCAGUACCGUGAGGGAAAGGCGAAAAGAACCCCGGCGAGGGGAGUGAAAAAGAACCUGAAACCGUGUACGUACAAGCAGUGGGAGCAYGCUUAGGCGUGUGACUGCGUACCUUUUGUAUAAUGGGUCAGCGACUUAUAUUCUGUAGCAAGGUUAACCGAAUAGGGGAGCCGAAGGGAAACCGAGUCUUAACUGGGCGUUAAGUUGCAGGGUAUAGACCCGAAACCCGGUGAUCUAGCCAUGGGCAGGUUGAAGGUUGGGUAACACUAACUGGAGGACCGAACCGACUAAUGUUGAAAAAUUAGCGGAUGACUUGUGGCUGGGGGUGAAAGGCCAAUCAAACCGGGAGAUAGCUGGUUCUCCCCGAAAGCUAUUUAGGUAGCGCCUCGUGAAYUCAUCUCCGGGGGUAGAGCACUGUUUCGGCAAGGGGGUCAUCCCGACUUACCAACCCGAUGCAAACUGCGAAUACCGGAGAAUGUUAUCACGGGAGACACACGGCGGGUGCUAACGUCCGUCGUGAAGAGGGAAACAACCCAGACCGCCAGCUAAGGUCCCAAAGUCAUGGUUAAGUGGGAAACGAUGUGGGAAGGCCCAGACAGCCAGGAUGUUGGCUUAGAAGCAGCCAUCAUUUAAAGAAAGCGUAAUAGCUCACUGGUCGAGUCGGCCUGCGCGGAAGAUGUAACGGGGCUAAACCAUGCACCGAAGCUGCGGCAGCGACGCUUAUGCGUUGUUGGGUAGGGGAGCGUUCUGUAAGCCUGCGAAGGUGUGCUGUGAGGCAUGCUGGAGGUAUCAGAAGUGCGAAUGCUGACAUAAGUAACGAUAAAGCGGGUGAAAAGCCCGCUCGCCGGAAGACCAAGGGUUCCUGUCCAACGUUAAUCGGGGCAGGGUGAGUCGACCCCUAAGGCGAGGCCGAAAGGCGUAGUCGAUGGGAAACAGGUUAAUAUUCCUGUACUUGGUGUUACUGCGAAGGGGGGACGGAGAAGGCUAUGUUGGCCGGGCGACGGUUGUCCCGGUUUAAGCGUGUAGGCUGGUUUUCCAGGCAAAUCCGGAAAAUCAAGGCUGAGGCGUGAUGACGAGGCACUACGGUGCUGAAGCAACAAAUGCCCUGCUUCCAGGAAAAGCCUCUAAGCAUCAGGUAACAUCAAAUCGUACCCCAAACCGACACAGGUGGUCAGGUAGAGAAUACCAAGGCGCUUGAGAGAACUCGGGUGAAGGAACUAGGCAAAAUGGUGCCGUAACUUCGGGAGAAGGCACGCUGAUAUGUAGGUGARGUCCCUCGCGGAUGGAGCUGAAAUCAGUCGAAGAUACCAGCUGGCUGCAACUGUUUAUUAAAAACACAGCACUGUGCAAACACGAAAGUGGACGUAUACGGUGUGACGCCUGCCCGGUGCCGGAAGGUUAAUUGAUGGGGUUAGCCGCAAGGCGAAGCUCUUGAUCGAAGCCCCGGUAAACGGCGGCCGUAACUAUAACGGUCCUAAGGUAGCGAAAUUCCUUGUCGGGUAAGUUCCGACCUGCACGAAUGGCGUAAUGAUGGCCAGGCUGUCUCCACCCGAGACUCAGUGAAAUUGAACUCGCUGUGAAGAUGCAGUGUACCCGCGGCAAGACGGAAAGACCCCGUGAACCUUUACUAUAGCUUGACACUGAACAUUGAGCCUUGAUGUGUAGGAUAGGUGGGAGGCUUWGAAGUGUGGACGCCAGUCUGCAUGGAGCCGACCUUGAAAUACCACCCUUUAAUGUUUGAUGUUCUAACGUUGACCCGUAAUCCGGGUUGCGGACAGUGUCUGGUGGGUAGUUUGACUGGGGCGGUCUCCUCCUAAAGAGUAACGGAGGAGCACGAAGGUUGGCUAAUCCUGGUCGGACAUCAGGAGGUUAGUGCAAUGGCAUAAGCCAGCUUGACUGCGAGCGUGACGGCGCGAGCAGGUGCGAAAGCAGGUCAUAGUGAUCCGGUGGUUCUGAAUGGAAGGGCCAUCGCUCAACGGAUAAAAGGUACUCCGGGGAUAACAGGCUGAUACCGCCCAAGAGUUCAUAUCGACGGCGGUGUUUGGCACCUCGAUGUCGGCUCAUCACAUCCUGGGGCUGAAGUAGGUCCCAAGGGUAUGGCUGUUCGCCAUUUAAAGUGGUACGCGAGCUGGGUUUAGAACGUCGUGAGACAGUUCGGUCCCUAUCUGCCGUGGGCGCUGGAGAACUGAGGGGGGCUGCUCCUAGUACGAGAGGACCGGAGUGGACGCAUCACUGGUGUUCGGGUUGUCAUGCCAAUGGCACUGCCCGGUAGCUAAAUGCGGAAGAGAUAAGUGCUGAAAGCAUCUAAGCACGAAACUUGCCCCGAGAUGAGUUCUCCCUGAC